CAGGAACCAGAUACUAUGUAUAUGCGCUGCCAGGCACUCAGACACUGAACUCUCAGCUUGAGGCAGAACUAGGCACAUUUGUGCAGGGGAAUCCAUGCCUCAUGCUGCUCUCCAGUCUGCCCUGGGUGUUCCUGGCCUUCAUCUUCUCUGGAUCCAGUGUAGCCCAGAUAGUUACUCAAGACCAGCCAUACAUUUCCAGUCCAGUUGGGGAGAUAGUCACACUGAGCUGUCGAUAUGAGACAACUCAGAGCAGUUACAACAUUUUUUGGUACAAACAACUUCCUAGUGGAGAGAUAAUUCACCUUAUUGGUUUGGGUUCUUCUAGACAGAAUGCAAGGUAUGGCCGCUACUCUGUAAAUUUUAAGAGCUCACGUAAAUCCAUCAGCCUCACGAUUUCAGACUUAGAGCUGGAAGACUCUGCAAAGUACUUCUGCGCUCUCUGGGAACUCACAGUGCUUGAAGUAAUAGGAAAAGCUGAACAAAAACCCCAGAGCUUAAUAAGAGAGAGCCCUGCUGCUGCGGGACCCAGGCUGAAAUACACACCUGCAGACCCCAGACAAGAAAUGGUAGUUCUGCGGUUGCUUCAUCUGUGGUCUGGAUCAGAAGAUUUAAUUCUAAAUAAAAGCUCCUUCUAUGUCAUUUGGAAGCAGGGAGUACCAUUUAGAGGGCUCCUUGGAGAAGAUUUGGGUAUGAGGAAUCUCUUGACCCAGAACAGGAUGAAUGGAUGUUUCAGUGAUGGUGGCACUAUGGUUAAAAUGGAACCUAAAGAGAUCUAUGAAGAACGGUUCUAUUAA